rnacentral:rRNA from 1 species
GACGAACGCUGGCGGCGUGCCUAAUACAUGCAGGUCGAACGCUUCUUUCCUCCCGAGUGCUUGCACUCAAUUGGAAAGAGGAGUGGCGGACGGGUGAGUAACACGUGGGUAACCUACCCAUCAGAGGGGGAUAACACUUGGAAACAGGUGCUAAUACCGCAUAACAGUUUAUGCCGCAUGGCAUAAGAGUGAAAGGCGCUUUCGGGUGUCGCUGAUUGAUGGACCCGCGGGGCAUUAGCUAGUUGGUGAGGUAACGGCUCACCAAGGCCACGAUGCAUAGCCGACCUGAGAGGGUGAUCGGCCACACUGGGACUGAGACACGGCCCAGACUCCUACGGGAGGCAGCAGUAGGGAAUCUUCGGCAAUGGACGAAAGUCUGACCGAGCAACGCCGCGUGAGUGAAGAAGGUUUUCGGAUCGUAAAACUCUGUUGUUAGAGAAGAACAAGGACGUUAGUAACUGAACGUCCCCUGACGGUAUCUAACCAGAAAGCCACGGCUAACUACGUG